UACGUAGGCAGCGAGCGUUGUUCGGAGUUACUGGGCGUAAAGGGUGUGUAGGCGGUUCUUAAGUUUGGUGUGAAAUCUCCCGGCUCAACCGGGAGGGUGCGCCGAAUACUGAGGGACUCGAGUGCGGGAGAGGAAAGUGGAAUUCCUGGUGUAGCGGUGAAAUGCGUAGAUAUCAGGAGGAACACCGGUGGUGUAGACGGCUUUCUGGACCGUAACUGACGCUGAGACACGAAAGCGUGGGUAGCAAACAGG
rnacentral:rRNA from 1 species